GUGUAUUCUGAUUUUGUGGGGUGGAAGACUCUGUAAACAUCUGUUAAGUUCAUUUGUUCAAGAGUUCGAUUGAGUUCUAGUAUUUCAUUGCUUAUUUUUAGUCUAGUUGAUCUAUCUAUUUGUGACAGUGGGGUGUUGACCUUCCUCCACUUUCACUCCUGAACAGGAUAGUAGUGUCCUUUCUACAUUCCGUCUGGCAAUAAAGCGAUAAUUUUAUCCACACUAAACAGAUAUCUCCAUCAAUAUGUAUAUUCAUCAGUAUCUCCACUAAGAAACUUAAUGGGCCCGGCAUUUACUGUUAAGAAUUUUCUUAGACCACCCAGAUACUAUUCCCUUCUGCUUGUUGGGCUCUCUUAGCCUCUGUUACCACAGUCUUUAUUCUCAGAGCAGUGCUACUCACUCUGCAUUGUGGACAUUGUGCAGUAAGUGAGGUAAAAGGUAUGCUGAGCUUACUUUGCUGCCUGCUUUGAGAGGGGUAACCAUAGGGAGACAUAAAGAAUUUCUCAUUAGAAGGUAAGCUCCCUGAGGACUUUGGGUUGUGUCUCAAGCACUGUCACAUCACCUGUGACAGAACAGCCACAAAAUAAAUGAUUCGUGAGUGAGAACAUAGCUUACAAACUGAAAUUUUGCCAAGUCAGCCUUGCAUGAUGGAGAAGUUAGAAAACUAAUAGCUAUUGACCAUUUACCAUGUUCCAGGCGGGGCUCUAGGUGCUUUCCAUGGGAAGUCUCAUUUAAUCCUCUCAGCAUUCCUGUUAGAAAAAUAUUAGGGAUGGGCAUUUAUCUCAGUGGCAUAGCGCCUGUCUGGCAAGCUUGAGGUUCUGAGUUCGAUCCCCGAUACCAAAAAAAAGGAAAGAAAAGAAAAGUACUAGCCCCCUUUCACAGAUGAAUAAACAGAAUCUAGUGAGUCACGUGACUUGCCCAUUUUCCUCAGCGGUCCUGAAAAGGAAUGUAACUGUCUAUCAGUCUAGUCUGUGGGAUUCCACCUCUUUUCCAUCAUGUCAGGAUGUUGGUGUGGGAUUCUCUCAGUGAAAUGGAAGCAGGAACAAUACCUGCCUCGAUACCAGAGGAAGAACAGACCGGAAAUGGUUAUGGGAAGUCAUGACUGAGAUGUAAUUUGUAAAUGUUGGUCUUAUUAUCAAGUACCCACUCCAUAUUUUAGCCAAAAUAUUUAUUAAACACACAGAUACAUGUUGCCUAUACCUUAUUUAAUGGGAACUUUUUUUGGGGGGGGGGUACUGGGGAUCGAACUCGGGUCUUUGCGCUUGCGCAGCAGGUGGCGAAACCACUGAGCUAAAUCCCCCGGCCCAAUGGGAACUAUUUUGUAGCUUUAAGCAGAUAUUCUGAAUAGCUGGCAGCCGACAUCGAGGGAAAUGACAGAACAGUGUUUCUCAAAGGUGAGUACCCAGUCAGUUGAAAGCCAUCUGGGAUAUUUGUUUUAAAAAAAUGCCCUUUUGCGCUCUACCACAGACAGACAAAAUCUGAAUCUCUAUGAUUGCAGUCUCGUUACCUGAAUUUUUAACAGACCCGACUGGUGAUUCUUUUGCACAUCAAAGUUUGAGAACCAGUGAUAAAAAUUUUAUUGAUUUAUUUUGGUUGUACAUUACAUAUAUGGCAUAUGGAAGUUAAGUAAGGUGCUUGUGAUCGUAACAGGAUAAAGCACAAUUGAUUGUUGGACUGCUGGAAAAGCAUUUAAUUGAUGAUUUGGUCUUAGGGUUUUGAAAUAAAAUUUAAAGAACUUUUAGUAAUUUUGAAUUUACAGACCAUCAGUCUACUUAAAACCAAGAGAGAGGAGUUGACACAACUUUGUGUUGGGGCCUGGGGAAGGUGGCAGUGAUACACAUUUCAGCAUCAGAGAGAACUUUUUACCAGGCCAAAAAUAAAGAUGGCUAAGUUUUGAAGACCAGAGGUUGAGCUCUAUCCAUUUCUAUCCCUAAUACUUUAGCACAAUAGUUGGAACAUAGGAGGUGCUUAAAGAUAUUUGUUUAACAAAAGACUAAAAACAAACAGGAGAGAGUAAAAUGAGAUAAAUAGACUAGAAUAAUUUCAUCAUAAUUACAGUAGUCCUCCCUUGUCUGUGGGGAAUGAAUUCUAGGAACCCCCUCAUGCUGAAAAUAUGGAUAGUACUGAAUCCUAUAUAUUCAGGUCUAUGUUUUUCUAUACAUACUUACCUAUGAUAAAGUAAUUUAUCAAUGAGGCAUUGUAUUAUCAGCAACAAUAAUAAAGGAGAGCAAUUUUAAUAAUAUACUGGAUAUGAAUGUGGUCUUUCUCAAAAUAUUGUAAGUACUCAUAUUUCUUGUGAUGAGUGAAUUUCUUGAACAUAAAUGCUGAGGUGCUGUGAAAGUCAGUCUGAUCACUGAGAUAACUCCUAACUUCUCCACAGUUCAGUGUGUACAUGUGAAUACUUUGGACAGAGGAAUGGUAACCUCCCAGGGAAAAUGGAACAAAAUGGUGCCGGACCCUAUCAUGCUACUUGGGACAGUGUGAAAUGUUAAAUUCACAAACUGUUUCUGGAGUUUUCCAACUGAUAUCUUCAGCUUUUAAUUGAACUCCGGUAACUGAAUCUGUACUGUGGGCAAAGAAGUCAGGGAGGAAUAUGCUGAAAAAGAAUCCUAGUGAGCUAAGACAAGGGAAAUAUUUUAAUUAACCUAGUAUGGUUCUUAUAGGAAAGUACCUUUUUUACAAACAAAAAAACCAAACCUUUUGGAUCAUACAAAGGGUCAAACCUUGGUAUAGGAUCAAAACCCAAGGCUACUGGGUUUAUUACACAGUGGCAAUCACUGCCUGAGAAUAGGGACCUUGUCUGUUUUGUUCUCCAUAUGCAUAGUACUCAGCAAAUAUUUACUGAACAAAUUACAGGGUUUCCACAUGAACUAGAAAAAAGAAGUAUUUGCAAACUACAGAAUUAUCUGUAAAAAGAGAAAAAAAUCUUUACAAAUUUUAACCAAUAGAUCAGUGGUGAUGAAAAUAGCAAAUCUACAUAAAAUGACACAUUUUUGACCACCUAUUUAGCCUUCAGUAAGGUCUCUAUCUGAUAGCUUGCCUGUCACCAAGCAGUGCUUUGUAGCUGAUUUUACUUUCUUUUUACUGUUAUGAAAAUCCAUCAUGAUGCCUAGCACAGUACCCUUACUGGUAUUAGCUAUUCAAGAAGUAUUUGAUGAGCAAUCAAAUCAGUGAAUGAAGAGUAUUGGCUUGGGGGAGGGGAGAGGGAAGAAAUUGAAAGUGGUCUAAGAAGAGAUUUGCCCUCUUCACUUAGAAUUCCCAGAGUGACAUGAUCCAGUGAUCUUCAAACAGGCAAAUUUCCCCUUCCCCUGUAGCUCAAAGUCUGACUUUUGGAAUCUUGAGGGAAGGAUGUUUGGUUUGCUAAAAUGACGGAUGCAAAAGUGGAUUCAGCAUUGUUAGAAGAGGGAACCAUUCAUUUGAUCUGGAAAAUAUAUUGGGAGAAAAAAGGUAAAAAGUAAUUUGAAACCUAACAGGAGUUUCAGUAGAAAAAUGGCUCUAAUUCAAGCAGUGUAAUGUUAACAUCAAUGCACGUCUCAUGGCUCAAGCCCCGCAUACUGCUUUGGAAAUAAAAGGAGAUUGUGUAAAGAAUUAGCAAUACAAGCCAUUUUUAAAGUGCUUUAUUGCAAAGGCCUAUGAUACUCUGUGAAAUCUAUGCAGCCUCUUUCUUCCUGCUGUGCUUAAUUUCAGAAUCUGAUGCUAUAACCUAUCCUUGGAGAAAAAAAAUUCUCUUUCUGUUAACUCUUAAAAACCAAGCUUAACAUUGCAAUUGUUUUCAGCAUAAUCUUUUUAACAUUUCUUGGGAAGAGAAAAGUGAUGUAUUUAGCUGUGGAGAGUUUGCCUUUGAAUUUAGGACUGCUUCUAGAGGUGUCAGUGGAGCAAGAGGGCAAAUUAGAAAUAAACGUUAAUGGUAAAAGUUUAGAAAUAGUCCAGAUAGUUUGAAGAAUAAGGUCCCUGAAGGAGUCAGCAGAGAGUGUUUUGGACUGGACUCCAGAGCAGAACCCAGAAAGGUAAGUGGGUUAUAAAGACAAUAAGGCAGACACCAUUGUUAACUCUUAACAAUGUAGGUGGCUAUCUGCUUGUCAUAUGAAGACCUGCCCAUCAGAAAUAAUCCCUUCUUGGCACACCAUUACUGUGCCUUCUCUUGGUUCACUCCAUGUUGAUGGGUGAGUUGCUAAUGUUAGGCCUUGUGCUAAGCAGUUUAUUCUUAUUCAAUUUCUGCAAUCAUGUGGUGCAGAUGUUCUCCAUCAUACAGAUAAGAAACUGAGCUUGCCAAAGUAGCAUAGCUAAUGGUGCAGCUGAGACUUGAACCCAGAGCAGUCUGAUUUCUAAGAUGAGGUUUUACUCAUUGUAAUAUAGGGAACAUAUUUUAAGUUCUAUUAAGUAAUUCCUCAAAAUGAUGCCUGCGUUUCCCUCUUUCUUGUAUACCUAUGUUUGUCACCUUGAAUCAUUACAGAGUUUCCCAAAGUAAUAUUUUCAUGUACAAUUUGCUCGAUUUGCUACUUUCAGGCCAGUCUUCCUGACAUGCUCUUUAGGUCAUGUUGCCCCUUUCUCAAAAAUUCAAAGUACCUGUGUACUGCACGUGGAUGGUACUUAGACUUGGAAGUCUGUUUUUUCAGGGGCUCUACCAUCUAUCUCCCUCUCUUCAAUCUUUUCAGACUUGUAUUUGAAACUUUCCUUCAAGAGAUAUUUGUUUGUGAUCCGAUUCAUACUACUCAAUUCCUCAGAUGACUCCCAGACUGUCUGCACAUGUCAGCCCUGUAAACUCUCAAGAUGCUCAUGGCCAAGGCCAUGGUCCCAACCCCAAAGGCAUAUUGACACUGAACCCUGUCUGACCCAAGGACUGCUGCCAGAGGUGCUUUAUACCAUCUGCUUCAGAUCCCUUCUGCUCCACUUCAGAUCGCUUCAGAUCCACUUGGCUCUGUAUUUUGACUUUCUCUUUGUUUUGUCCCUCCAUUUGUUCAGUAACCAAUAAAUCUUUAUUGAGCACCUAUAGUAAGAGAGGGAGCAUGCUGAUUGCUAAGAUUCAGCAGUGUGUAGAACAGGCACAUAAUUCAUACAGAAGUUUUAUUUUAAGUCUGUGAGGGAAGAUAAAUCAGCACUAUGACUGCAGACUGUAAAAACUAUGCUUCACAGACAAUCUAUACAGUGUCCAAAGAAGGUUAUCUGGUGUAUUCUGGGGGAAGGAGUGGCAAAAGAGGCUUCCAUGAAGAAGUCACAUAGGAAAGAUAGUUAAUGAGGUAAAGGGAGACAAAAAAAAAACUUUUGAGGAAGAGGGUAUGGCAUGUGCAAAGAUUCCUAGACAGGGUAAAGUACUUAUACGUGGAAUUGUAAGGACUACCUGAGUGAUGUAGAGUGAGACAGAAUCAGAUGGAGAUGAGACCCUGUUUGGGAGACAGUGAUGAGAUCGUUAAGCCUCAUGGGCUAUGUUAGAGUUAUAUCUCCAUGAGAGUGAUGUGAAUCCCCUUAAGGUUUCUCAAGGGACAAAUAAAAUAUGUGUCUUUAACCUAUAUACCAAUUGAAAGAGGUAGGAAUUGAUUUGGGAAAAGUAGAAAGGAGGCUAUUGCAGUGAUUCACACAUGAGAAAGAUGGUGGCUUGGCCAGUAGUAUAGAAAUGGAGGGUGGAACUAGAGUUUCAGAAAACAAACAUGAAGAGGAAAAUUGCCCAUUUUCAGACUCCCUCCACUAAACUAAUGGCAUGCUCACUUUGGUAACCACCCAAUACAGAAUUUCUGUAUUUUAUGGCUUUAAAAAGAGGGAUAGAACUCUAUACUGCUCCACAUUCCUAGACUCUGCUGGUGGGGAGAGAUUUGACACAAAACACAUAGUGCAUCCUGACAACAUAUGCUGACCUGUUUCCCUCCUUGAUACUGGGAAUUGAACCUGAGCCUUCAUGCUGAGCUACAUCCCUGGCCCUUUUUAUUUCAUUUUUUAUUUUGAGACAGGGUUUAGCUAAGUCACUAAGUUGCCAAGGUUUGGCUCAAACUUGAGAUUCUCCUUCUUCAGUCUCCUAGAGUGUUGGUUUCAUAGGCUUGUGCCACCAUGCCCGGCUGUAUGCUGACAUUUUUUGUUUUCCUUUUAUGUAUAUCCUCCUUCAUAUAGAUAUACUGAAAUCUUACCUAUCUCUUAAUUUCUUAUGACCCUUAAAUCUAUUACCACCUCUGUGGCUUUAGUACUGUAUACAAGAUUGUAAUCAUAUCAUAAACAUAUCUUAUCCCCUGAAAGAGAUUGGGAGUCUAUGCCCAGAGAUAUCAAUGGUGUAGUUCAAUACUGUAUUUCUAUUUUUCAUCAUCAUUUACCUCAUUCUAGCUGAGGCAUUUACUUGAGCUCUUUCAGGCUGUGAUUUGUCAUCUGCAGAAUGGGGAUAAUUAUAUUUACUUCAUAAAGCCAUUGAAAUAAUGACAGAAUGAAUACAAAGUACUUAAAAAUAAUUCUUUGAAGUUGGAACCCUGUAUCUUAUUACUGUUUUUGUCUACUUCAAGUUCACUGAAUAUUUGUUGAAUUCAAAUUUGAAUUUAAAUGUAAGUAUCAUUUCUUCAAGGGGAUUCAGAUAUAAAUAAAACUUGAUUUUUAUCUGCAGGAAUCUCAGUUUGGUAGAGGAGCUAGUAACAAAGCAGUUAGCGAUGAGGAGUGAUUGAGAUAUUACCCCAGAAGGGAUAUUUGAGAGCACAGAAGAGAGGUUGGAGAAGGUUUUCUAAGUGAUUUAAUGCAUGAUCUGAGUAUUUUACUAAUCAAUUAAAUACAUGUUAAAUAAUUUGUAGAUAUAGUAGAAAACUCAAGGCUAUAUUAUAAAACCCCCUCCCUGUCCUACUGGCAAACGUACUCAUUCCAUUCUUUCAAUUUUGUGUUUCUAAUUAAAAUGUUUUCUCCUUAUUUUUCUUGAUUUUUAAAAAGUAUUAGGUAAGAUUGACUUCCUACUACUCUGCUCUUUUCCCCUCACAGCUCCCUCUACUUCUGAAGACUAUACAUAUUUCUUUUCUUGCAUUGUCCAUAUAAAAUUUUGCCCAUUUUUGGUUUAAUCUGUUAGUAAUGUAGUUACUUUGACUAAAUGUUAUUUAUUGCAGAGAGUAUUAUAUAUUGAUGACUUUGACUUUUGAAAUAUAACUUCUUUGUUUUCCUGGAGUGAGGCAUAGCCUGUGAUCAAACCUGCAAGUUUGACUGAAAGUGUUCAGUCUUGGCUGGAAUUCCUCGGCCACGGCUUAGUGGGCAAAUGGCAUAUCCAGGGUGGGCCUUGGAGGCAGUUGGCCCCAGUGGAAGAACUGUUUUAUUACUUAUUUGAUUCUGUUGGCCAGUGAAAUUUGAGAAGCAUUCAAUAGGGUAAGACCAGCAGUGAUAUAAUGUAGAGCUGUCAGAGCCAGGGAAUAAUAAAAAGCUCACCAACUUUCAGUCAGUUAUUUUUCCUAAAUAUUUGGCAGACAGUACACCCUCUUGUUGCUUGCACUUGGGCAGACCGCUCCCCUCAGUCUCCCCUUCACCAGGCUCUGAGUUCAGCUAAGUAAGGCUGGCGGGUGAUGCUCUGAAAAAGUAGGAGAGUACUCCAAGCAGGCUGGACAGCACGAGUAAAAAGUUAGGGAGGUGAGAAUUAGCAAGAUGUGUUUGUGGAAUGAUGGUUUGGUGUUGAUGAUGGCACAUGAAGUAUGUGGUGAGAUUAGUUGAGAUGAGGCUGUGAUGGUUGGCAGUGGUCAGAUCAAAAUGAUCUUUUCAUCAUAGACUCACAUGCGUUAGUUUUGAGCUUAUAGACUGUUGAGCAACAUGGUCUGCUGUGCUUCUGAAUGAAGAAAUGACAGUUCAUUCAGUAGCCAAAAAAAUAAAAAAGGAAAACCAACUCCUAAGUCAAAGUUAAAAUGCUGCCUUUGCAUAUUCGAUGACAUAUUAACACUUUUGAGGUACUCUCAGUACAACUGUUGUGUACAGAGUCCCCCAGAAUACACAGAUAAACACAAAUAUUCCUCAUUUAUGUGCACAUUUCUCCUUUAGUUUCUGUUCAGGGGACAGUGAGCACUUGGAGCAAGGUUUGGUUUAAAUGACAGUGGAUAUAGUGUAGUGAUGUGUCAUGUCAGUGUUCCCUGGAGACCAAUUCUGAUAGGUAGGUUUCUAAGCAGUGAGUUUGGGGAGAGUUCUCAGGGAUACCACCUGGGAGAGGGAUGGACAGAAGUAAGAGUGUGAGGUAGCCCAGGCUUUGGCUGGCCUGUGGGGACCACUGCAUCUGGAUGAGUCUUCAGAGAUGUUCCAAGUUGAGGCCAGGUGGCCAGGCCUUUGUCGCCCCACUUGGGUGUUGGAUGUGGGGCAUCGCUGGGGAGGGGGAGGACUUUGCAUGAUGGGAAUUCUUGUAGAGGGACCAAGCUCUGAAUUUUCAGCAGACAAUACUUCCAGCAGCUGGGAGGCUGGGUGCCUCUGGGUGGCAUAACGAGGCAUCUGUUAUAAACAACCUUUCUGAUCCAUUUCUCCAUUUUUUGGAAUUCUCAGAUCUUAAAAUAUGGCUGACAAAGAACUAGCAAUGAGUCUAAGUGAUACAGUUCUGCCAUAUUCCUGUGCUUACGUGUGUUUACAUUAUCAGUAUUACUUGAAUACUUAUAGACUUUUUUUUUUUUGCAGGAAAUCCUUUUAAACUGCUUGUCCAUUUUAUAAGUGUAAAUUUAGAUAAAUAUUAGACAGUGUAAUCCCUAACCCACUUCCUCAAGCAUAGAGGAACUGUUAUGUGUGUUAGAAUGCUAACACAAAAGUGAGUGGGGCAUUAGCACCCACUCCUUCCUGCUGUCCAAACUAGGGCUCCUGGUUGUAGUUCUAUUUUUUUUAAAAAAGCAAAAAACAAAACAAAAAUAUCUUCAUGAUUUAUCUUGAAUUUCUGGUUUUGAAGAAAUUUUUAUUAUGGAAUAAAGCCAACGGAACAUUUUAAUUAGAGGUACGACAGCUGACUAUACGGAGACCUAAGAUGAAAGGAAUGGUGUCUCUGUGUAUUGGAAGGGGAGGAAGAUUUGUUGCUGGGUAAGCACAUAAGAGAUGACCAGCCAGGAAGUAUAGACUUAGAUUUCCCAGUUUUUCAGGUGGGCAUCUAAGUCAGCACUGUCCUUUUUUUUUGGAUCACACAUCUACAAUAUCAAUAUAAAAUUAUUAGUUGUGAGGACACAAAUUAAAAGUGACAAGAAGGGAAUAAAGAGUAUUUAUAAAACCAGAAACAUAAAUAAAAGUUGUAAUAUUUUAUUACAGCAUGCUAGUGGGUGUUUUUUCUCCUUUUUGCACCCACCUUGAAGAUUAAUGAGCUAGGUUUCUAGAGCAUACCUUAUAUUCAAAGUGAGGAAAGAGUUCACUGUGGACAAAUUUUGACAAUUUAAUGGGUUUAACAUAUGCAUCUAUUUAAAUGAGAUAGUAUGAGCUCCACGUAUUAAAAAAGUAAACCAGAAGAAAAUAACGUUUUAGAAUAUAAUUGUGACACUUUAAAAUAUUUUAAAAUCAUGCAGGGAGUGUGUGUGUGUGUGUGUGUGUGCGCGCACAGUCACACACAUGCAUAUUUGUAUGUGCUUGUGUGUGUGUGUUUGCACAGUCACACACAUGCAUAUUUGUAUGUGCUUGUGUGUGUGUGUGUGUGUGUGUGUGUGUGUGCUAGCUAAGAUCAUAAUGACUUAGCAUUUCCUCACAAUUAAUUGAAAGGUUGGGGCCACAGUGACACCAUUUUUCUUCUGUAUAUCUGGCUCUCAUUUAUGACCCAUAUCCUGCCUUGUAUACUAGAAUGCCUUUGACUGUUCUCUCAUUGCUUACUUUCUCAGACUCAUCAAUUUAUAAAUCAGUUAAGUGUUGUAAUUAAAAGAUAUCUUUAUUUGUGUCAUCUUAGCAAUAAAGAAUUGAAAAGACAACAUCUUCCACAAAUAUAAUAAGUCCCUUUUAGCUUUUUGCAAUUCUAAAUGUUUAUAAACAGUUUUCUGGUAAAACUCAGCCUGGUUUAUAAGAAUACUCCCAGAGUCAUCUUGUGCCUGAACUUUAGAUGGCUUAGCUUUCUUAUUAACGUCUUUUAUUUUGUUAAUAUGAAUUCAUUUCAGUUAUGUUCCUGUUUUUAUAUUUGACAAUGCCUGUUCAAAAGAUAUUGGUUGCUUUGAAUUUCUUGGAAGGAAGGGGAUAAAUACAUUUCAGGUAGCAUCAUUAUUACUUUCCAUUAUAGAAAAAAUUAAAAGGCAGCUGUUUUGCAACCAGCAUAUAGAAGUCUUAAUAAGGAUAUGGUAAUCAUGGCUAGGUCCCUCAGGAAACCUAAUCACAUAAUCUUAAAUAUAGUUCAUAAGUUAAAAGGCAGAAACCUUGUUAUGCUAGAGAGUGCUAUUUUAAACGAAUAAUAAAAAUUAUGAUUCUUUUUUUGUACAAAUGAUCUUUCCAUUAUUGAGUAAAGGGCAAAUAUUGUCUCUCAAUUAUUUUGUCUUGAAAUCUUCCAAUGACUACAUCCAUCUUUGUUCUUAACGUCUUAAAAAUAUAUGGCAUAUUGAUCUUAAUAAUAAUUUAAAAUAAAUAAUACUGUUGUAUUUGACUCAUCUUAACUAUUCCUUUCAUUCAAAAAUUUGUAUCUCAAGUCUAUACUUUGACUCUGUUAUUGUUAUGAAUUGAGUAAUGGGCUUACAAUGAUGAGCAGAAGAGAUUUGUUCCCUUCCCUUAUGGAGCUUGUAACCUAGGGAUAAAGUUGGGCAUUCAUCAUCUAAUCAUACCAACAGAUAGAUUGUUUUCUUUUCCAGUGUAGUUGUGACCAGUGGCUGGAACUUUAUUUUUAAAAAAGGCAACAACGUGAAAAUAUUAAAUCUUAAAGAAAUGGUAGCUGCAUUAAAUAUUAUAUGAUUUUAAAUACUAUCUCCUUUAUCAGUUUAUUAGUGUUUCAUUAUCUUGAUUUUAAAUACUAUCUGCUUUAUCAGUUUAUUAGUGUUUCAUUAUCAGUGUAUCAGUUUGCAAAUUAAUAGUAGCAUACUCAAGGGUUUUCAUUAUGAGUCUCUUGAGUGAUGAUCUUUGUCACCUUGGCUAAUCUGUUACCCAUAAUCUGUAUUCUAUCAUUUUUACUUUUGAUUUUUUUUUGGUACCAGGGAUUGAACUCAGGACCUUGCGCUUGCGAGGCCGGCGAUGGAACCAGUGAGCUAAAUCCCUGGCCCACUUUUGAUUUAUUAAAAAUGACAGGAGAGCUUCAUGAUAUUUGACAAGCAGUCUAAGUGCAGACUUUGUUAAUUUUUUCCCAAUUUUAUUCCAACUUUAUGAACUUAUUUAAUACUUUAAUUAGUGGUUUUUUAAAAACAAUUCAUCUUUAUUCUUUUCAAAGCAUUCAAUUUAGUGUCAUGAAAACAUCUACUUUUGUGCUUACAUUUCAUUAGUUAUGUAAUAUUUGAUAAUUGACCGAAUUCCAGUACCAAGUAGGUAUGACGUAAACAGACUUCAGAUCGGGUGGGCAGUUCAGUGGUGAGAGGAGGAGUGUGUGGUUUUUCUGGCGGAGCCUUGUUGCUGUUAGUAUGUCACGGCUAAUAGUGUGUCUUACAGAGAGAAUAGAACAUUCCAGUUGCUCGUGGUGGCUAUAGGCUGGCUAAGAACAUCAUAGUAUAAAUAUGUAUCAUGCUGAGUACUCUGCAGUCCAGAAUGGAGGAAGAGUAGAGGGAGCUAUAAAGAGAAGCAGGGUUGCCUCAUUUAUUCUGGAAGUCCCAGAAGGCUUUCCUGGGAAAGAGACUUUUGGGCUGGACCAUGCAGGAAAGUAAGGGGUAGAUAGGUGAAGAAGGUGUGUGCCUGGGAGUGAAGAAGAGCACAUAUGCAUCUCGAAAGUGGGCUAAAGCUUGAAACAUGGAAGAACUGAGUCCAGAGUGGCUGGGGAACAGAAAAGAAGGGCAAAGAUUCUGUAGGAUGAGGUAACGUGAGGCAGGAAUCCUCUCAUGUGGGGUCUUUUAGGUCCUGUUAAGGUUUAAGGUUUUAUCUUAAAAGCAAUGGCAAAUAAGAAAAGGGUUCAGAUUUGUGAUUUAAAAUCUUUCUAUCAUUGUUAUAGUUUGUGUGUAGAUGUCCUCCCAAAAGCCUCAUGUGAUCAUAGACUAUUUUGGAGGUGACUGAAUCUAGAGUGUGAUUGACUUUGGUGAGGCUAGGCCCCAGGGCACUAGGAUUAAGAGUGUGAGUGCUACCUGCCCCAAGUAGUCUGAAUAAGAGAAACGGGGCAGAAAGACACUCUUAAGGUCCCUUGAUGGCUUUUGCUGCUUCCACCACCAUGAACUGUUGCCCCUCUGCCAUCCUGCCUUGGAGCCAGCUAAUUAUGGACUAAAAUGUCUACAAACUUUAGGAGUCAGGUAUUUUGGUCUCAGCAACGAGAGAAAAGUAGCCAACACAAUCAUCCAACAAGGCCUGCAGUAUUUCUAUACUACACUCUUGCUUUCCAUUUUCUUCUUUUAUAUUUAUAGAUGUAUUUACCCUUUCAGCACAUUAUGUUGUCAAAAUAAUAGGGGAAAAUAUCAAUCCUUUAAACUUGUAUUUUCUUGAAAGUACAAGUGUGUUUAUUUUAUCAUUGUGAAUCUAAAAAUUAACUAUGAAACAUUCUUCUUGACUUCUAAACUAUGUAUAAUAAAGAAAUGCUUUAUUGCUGUUUCAUCAAUAAUUGAAAUGCAACUUAAAGGAAAGUAGGGCAGCAUAAGGAAAAAAGUACACUUGUUCCAUAAUUGAGUCGAUUAAAUAGGAUUGAGUCCUAUUGUCACAGUCUUAUUGAUGAAACAACUUUUAUAGGUAGAGAGUCUAAUAAAAAAUUAGACCUCAGAAUGAUGAGGGG
rnacentral:lncRNA from 1 species